rnacentral:rRNA from 1 species
UACGUAGGGCGCGAGCGUUAUCCGGAAUUAUUGGGCGUAAAGAGCUCGUAGGCGGUUUGUCACGUCUGCUGUGAAAACUGGAGGCUCAACCUCCAGCCUGCAGUGGGUACGGGCAGACUAGAGUGCGGUAGGGGAGAUUGGAAUUCCUGGUGUAGCGGUGGAAUGCGCAGAUAUCAGGAGGAACACCGAUGGCGAAGGCAGAUCUCUGGGCCGUAACUGACGCUGAGGCGCGAAAGCUAGGGGAGCAAACAGG